UAACCUUCCUGGUAAACCAGACGUGAGUGAAUUUUAUUUAAAUUAAAAGGUAAUUUUUAGAUUUCUUUGAUACUUCCAAGAUUAAUUCUUCUCUCAAUACAUUAUCCAUUGUUCUUUAUACAAUUAUUACCUAAAUAUAUUACAUUUUCAAACGUUUAGAAACUUUAACUUUCGUUUUUGGCUCGAACAUAACAUACACAUCUUUAUGAUUAUUUAUAUUAUGUCCCAGAUCCGAGGCAAGUUGUUUAUAAUGUCUUCGUUAUAAACAAGGAUAUAUAAAAAAGAAUAUGCACGGUACUAUACCAAUACUUGGAUUAUGAAUAUAAUCAUACUAGCCAUAUGACCAAGAAAAGUCACUUAAAUCUUGUGCACCUUGUAUGUCGUUAUUCAAAGGGCCAAUGGUGAAAACACCAGAAAAUAACAACUAAAAUGUAAGCAAGAAGUUCAAAUCACGUAGGAAUAAUCAGCCAGCAUAUCCUUUAUUGUGAAACAAAAUUGAAUUCUAAAUUGUUUUAACAUAAAUACUUGAGGUUACAAGAGCGCAAUUAUUGGUCAUGCAUUUUCCAUCGGGUACCACUGGUGUUCUGUAUUUUCCCCCUCGAAGAACUACACAAACAAGGGAAGAACGGGUAGCAGUUCCUGUUACUAGAAAUGUCAGUGUUGCAUUACAACCAAAAAAAUAUUAUAUGGUCAUGCGGCAAAAGUUGACUUAAAAUGCAGUUGAAAAAGAACGUCUAUUUUUUUCGCUUAAUGAAAAAGGCAUAUUUUUAAUGGCUCCGAAGUGCAGAAAUGGAAUAUUGUCUAUGCUUUGUAAAAUAUGAAUAUGAUAUUCUCGCAUUUUUUAAACCUAAUUGGAUAAACUUUCGAUUAAAUGUAAUUCCAAUCCUGUAUCAUCCAAUCAGAAGCCGUAUAGGAUUCUAAUAUGAGUACUAUCUUGGGGUAAAAAAAAAACUGCCGGUAAAAUGUAAGCAAAUAAUUGCGCUCUUGUAACCUUGAAAUAGCUUCAAAAUAAUGUCGAAAACCGUACCUCUAUUUUUAUUGUGUAAAUAUAACAAUAUAAAAAUUAACAAGUACCUACUAAUCUUUAAAGGUUUGAAUUUAAUAUUCUUCUCCUCGUCGAGAGAAAAAAAAAAACGAAACUCAAUUUGAUUCAUGCAUAAAAUGUUUUAUUUAUUCAUCUCUUCGUCUACUUUACCAAGAUAAUUUUUGAAUAUCUUAGGCAGAAUAAAAAAAAAGAUGUGUGUUGUUCAAAUAACGGUACCCACCCUAUUUUUUAGUAAAAAAAAAUGUUUAGUUUAAAUUUUUUUUUUUUGGCAUUCAAUAAGCACUUUCAAAGUCAGAAUGUCCCUUCCAUACACUGAAGGUAAUAAAAAGGUAAUAACACGGAGCUAUUAUAAGGCAUUUGCUUUAAAAACUAAUUUUCAUACAUACAUUAUAUUAUACACAAGUGCAUGUAUAUACACUUUCAUUUAAUUACAUUGUUCAAUAUAGAGACAUAUCCAUUCUCUUUCACUAACUAUAUUCAACUCUCUCGAAUCGCAACAUUUAGCAACUUUUAUUAUCGCGAAGGCCUUCAUCACUUUCAUGACUUUCUCACACAUUAAAAUCGUCAUUCAUCUCUAGAUCACACAAGUAUAGGAACAUAAUAUAAACAAACAAACAGAAACAUAAAUUAUACGGCUUCUAAUUAAAAUGAUUACAGUUAAAACACAAACAGCUGCAUCAUAUAUUAAAUUUAACGGUCAAUCAGACAGUCAGCUUAAGUUGUAAAAUCGGAGUUCACGAAAACAAUAAAUCUACAAAUACUGAACACGUUUGACCAAUCGUCGUAUUUUCUAAGUUAAUGAACCUUACAUAUAAAGUAAAAUCGAACUGAACUUCUUUAUCUAUUUUCAAAUUUUCCACUUUCUCUUAUGAAAGGUUAAAAUGUUCGAUUUUAUGAAUUUAAAUAUUUUGACAUUCGAUCGGACGUAACAUAAGCUUCACAAAUAAAAUUUAUUUUGAAUUUGGACAAUUAAAUAACUAUGGAAAUGAGAUCAGUGAGAAUUAUUUCUAAUUUUAGAGUAUAUACUUUUGAAGAUGAGGCCACCGAUUGAACAACUAUUGUUAUGACUAUUCAUUUAUCAUUGAUUCUAAUUUUGUAGUGUGUUUAAUGGCGGCAUCAUCUCAAAGUUGUGGUGUCUGUGACCUCCGCCACCUCACCAAACCAUCAAUAGUCUGGUGUACAGAAUGUGACGAGGGAUUAUGUACAGAAUGCAACGAACAUCAUGGUUUGUCUAAGGCAUCGCGAAGUCAUAGUGUAAUACCUAUUGCCGAAUACCAGAAACUACCAGCUAAUGUACUGAAAAGUACUCAGUAUUGUUCCAGUCACGAUAAAAAAUAUCAAUUUUAUUGCCAGAAGCAUGAAUGUCCCUGCUGUAGCAAAUGUAUGAUGGAAAGUCACAAAGAAUGUCAGGGAUUGGUAGAAUUAGAUGACGUCAUUCAUAGCGUCAAAACCUCCAAUGCCCUGUGUGAGAUAGAGGAAACAUUAGUUGAAGUAGCAGAAAAUCUACAGAAAAUUCGCCAGCAUCAACAAGACAAUCUGUUGACUUUUAAAGAAAAAAGAAAAGAAAUCGAAAAAGAAAUUAAGAAAACUAGAAUGAAGAUCAACAACCACCUCGACAAACUACAAGAAGAUUUAAUGAAACAACUCAACGAGCUCGAAGAAAAAGAAAACUCUAAAAAUUUGUCAGUUAAUGGUCCUCGCUAGAAAAGAAAGAAAAAGAAAUAGGAGAAUGCCAAAAUAGCCUAUUGAACAUCAAGAAACACGCAACAGAUCUUCAAAUGUUUCUCUCAAUUAAGCAAAUAGAAGAGGACGUUUAUAGCAAAGAAAAACAAUUGCAGGCUCUUGUAGAAGGCAAGGAACAGCAUACUCUUUCAUAUCAGAUCAACACCUCUAUCCAGAAUAUCAUAUCCGAUAUCAGAAGUUUUG
rnacentral:lncRNA from 1 species